rnacentral:rRNA from 1 species
AUUGAACGCUGGCGGCAUGCCUUACACAUGCAAGUCGAACGGCAGCACGGGAGCAAUCCUGGUGGCGAGUGGCGAACGGGUGAGUAAUAUAUCGGAACGUACCUUUCAGUGGGGGGAUAACGUAGCGAAAGUUACGCUAAUACCGCAUAUUCUGUGAGCAGGAAAGCAGGGGAUCUUCGGACCUUGCGCUGAUUGAGCGGCCGAUAUCAGAUUAGCUAGUUGGUGAGGUAAAGGCUCACCAAGGCGACGAUCUGUAGCGGGUCUGAGAGGAUGAUCCGCCACACUGGAACUGAGACACGGUCCAGACUCCUACGGGAGGCAGCAGUGGGGAAUUUUGGACAAUGGCGCAAGCCUGACCCAGCCAUUCCGCGUGCAGGAUGAAGGCC